CUCCUCUUCUUCUUCUUCUCCUUCUGGAUGACCCCUGCGGUUGGAUUGGUUUCUGCAGGCAGGCCAUCACAAUGGAAAUGGAAGGAUGAGCACCAUGGCAGGCGUGCAGGCACGGUUUACACAAACACAUCCUGUUUCAAUGGCUCAAACUGUUGGUCCUCCCAUGGCAAUGUUCCCUGCUGGUGGUCAUGGAGUUAGUCAGCAACUUUUUUAUGAUCUGAGAAAGAAGAGAAGAAGAAUCCUAAGGAAGA